rnacentral:rRNA from 1 species
AUUGAACGCUGGCGGCAGGCCUAACACAUGCAAGUCGAACGGUAACAGGAAGAAGCUUGCUUCUUUGCUGACGAGUGGCGGACGGGUGAGUAAUGUCUGGGAAACUGCCUGAUGGAGGGGGAUAACUACUGGAAACGGUAGCUAAUACCGCAUAACGUCGCAAGACCAAAGAGGGGGACCUUCGGGCCUCUUGCCAUCGGAUGUGCCCAGAUGGGAUUAGCUAGUAGGUGGGGUAACGGCUCACCUAGGCGACGAUCCCUAGCUGGUCUGAGAGGAUGACCAGCCACACUGGAACUGAGACACGGUCCAGACUCCUACGGGAGGCAGCAGUGGGGAAUAUUGCACAAUGGGCGCAAGCCUGAUGCAGCCAUGCCGCGUGUAUGAAGAAGGCCUUCGGGUUGUAAAGUACUUUCAGCGGGGAGGAAGGGAGUAAAGUUAAUACCUUUGCUCAUUGACGUUAUCCGCAGAAGAAGCACCGGCUAACUCCGU